UGCUGUGUCAUUGUAGUAUAUUCGUUUUUCACCUCUGAAAUAUUCCUGAGCUCCCCCCGUGAGAGGGAAGUAUAUGCUGGUAUUGUUCAUGUUGUUCUUUCUUUUCUAUUCAUAUAGAACUUCAAGCUUUUACUCCUGAACUUUUCACCAUUUACUAAAACUAAACAAACAGAAUAAAGAAUCAUAGAAUCAAAUCAAAGCAUGGCCUACCCAUCAAAAUCCUAGACCUACAAAAAUCAAAACAGGACUUUUCCUGGAAGCAGCAGCUCCUACCUUGAUCAAGACCAACAUGUCUAGUUGAGUGAGAGCAAAUGGUAUCAAGGAAGAUGAAGUCCAAAUCUCCCUGAGAUAAAUCAUUCACUACACAUCAAGUAUAGGAACAGAUAACUUUUAACAUUCCCUUUGCCUUUUUCACCUCUGUGCAAUGCCGAACUGAUGUUUUCAUACACAUAAGAUAACUGCAAAAUCUCUUUUGCAAGCACCAAUAGCUAAUAUAGAACCCUUCACAGAAUGGCAAAGAACACUGAGAAGAUAAAGAUUCUUAGGGUCUGAAAGGAGCAAGGUUGUGACAAUUCUAGCAAAAUCAGUGAAAACUAGUAAUGUGGUAAUUUUGCAGUAAGAUGCAUUGAUUUCUUGUGAGUCACCUUCUUACAUAGUCUUAGUUGCUAUAGAGGACAUUGAGAUUUCCUGUGUUAUGCACAACCAUAAGGGGGUAGGUGAGCUCUGGAUCUGGAUCAGGUGGAUCAGUCAAACAUGGAUCCAACUAAGUGAUUUUGAAUAUGUGUUUAAGACUGCAGGGUCUAGAAGUAGAGAUGGA